AAUAGAUACCCGGGUAGUCCACGCCGUAAACGUUGGGCACUAGGUGUGGGGUCUAUUCAACGGACUCCGUGCCGUCGCUAACGCAUUAAGUGCCCCGCCUGGGGAGUACGGCCGCAAGGCUAAAACUCAAAGGAAUUGACGGGGGCCCGCACAAGCAGCGGAGCAUGUUGCUUAAUUCGAGGUCAACGCGAAGAACCUUACCUGGGUUUGACAUGUAGGGAAAAGCCAUAGAGAUAUGGUGCCCUUAGGGGUCCUACACAGGUGGUGCAUGGUUGUCGUCAGCUCGUGUCGUGAGAUGUUGGGUUAAGUCCCGCAACGAGCGCAACCCUUGUCCUAUGUUGCCAGCACGUCAUGGUGGGGACUCGUAGGAGACUGCCGGGGUUCAACUCGGAGGAAGGUGGGGACGACGUCAAAUCGAUCAUGCCCCUUAUAUCCAGGGCUGCAAACAUGCUACAAUGGCCGGUACAAAGGGCUGCUAAACCGUGAGGUGGAGCGAAUCCCAUAAAGCCGGUCUCAGUUCGGAUUGGAGUCUGCAACUCGACUCC
rnacentral:rRNA from 1 species